rnacentral:rRNA from 1 species
AAUAUUGCACAAUGGGUGAAAGCCUGACGCAGUAAGGCCGCGUGAUUGAUGAAGGCCUUCGGUUCGUAAAGCUCUUUUAUCAGGGAUGAUAAUGACAGUACCCGAAAAACAAGCCACUGCCAACCACGCGCCAUCAGCCGCGGUAAUACGUAGGUGGCGAGCGUUGUCCGGAAUUACUGGGCGUAAAGGAUGCGUAGGUGGAUACUUAAGUGGGAUGUGAAAUCCCCGGGCUCAACCCGGGAACUGCAUUCCAAACUGGGUAUCUAGAGUGCAGGAGAGGAAAGCGGAAUUCCUAGUGUAGCGGUGAAAUGCGUAGAUAUUAGGAGGAACACCAGUGGCGAAGGCGGCUUUCUGGACUGUAACUGACACUGAGGCAUGAAAGCGUGGGUAGCAAACAGG